rnacentral:rRNA from 1 species
CUGCUAAGACUGGAUAGGAGACAAGAAGGCAUCUUCUUGUUUUUAAAAGACCUAGCAAUAGGUAUGCUUAGGGAGGAGCUUGCGUCACAUUAGUUAGUUGGUGGGGUAAAGGCCUACCAAGACCAUGAUGUGUAGCCGGGCUGAGAGGUUGAACGGCCACAUUGGGACUGAGACACGGCCCAAACUCCUACGGGAGGCAGCAGUAGGGAACUUUCGGCAAUGGAGGAAACUCUGACCGAGCAACGCCGCGUGAACGAUGAAGUAUUUCGGUACGUAAAGUUCUUUUAUUAGGGAAGAAUAAAUGAUGGAAAAAUCAUUCUGACGGUACCUAAUGAAUAAGCCCCGGCUAACUAUGUGCCAGCAGCCGCGGUAAUACAUAGGGGGCAAGCGUUAUCCGGAAUUAUUGGGCGUAAAGGGUGCGUAGGCGGUUAAAUAAGUUUAUGGUCUAAGUGCAAUGCUCAACAUUGUGAUGCUAUAAAAACUGUUUAGCUAGAGUAAGAUAGAGGCAAGUGGAAUUCCAUGUGUAGUGGUAAAAUGCGUAAAUAUAUGGAGGAACACCAGUAGCGAAGGCGGCUUGCUGGGUCUUUACUGACGCUGAGGCACGAAAGCGUGGGGAGCAAACAGGAUUAGAUACCCUGGUAGUCCACGCCGUAAACGAUGAGUACUAAACGUUGGGUAAAACCAGUGUUGAAGUUAACACAUUAAGCACUCCGCCUGAGUAGUACGUACGCAAGUAUGAAACUUAAAGGAAUUGACGGGGACUCCGCACAAGCGGUGGAUCAUGUUGUUUAAUUCGAAGGUACCCGAGAAACCUUACCAGGUCUUGACAUGCUUCUGCAAAGCUGUAGAAACACGGUGGAGGUUAUCAGUUGCACAGGUGGUGCAUGGUUGUCGUCAGCUCGUGUCGUGAGAUGUUGGGUUAAGUCCCGCAACGAGCGCAACCCUUAUUGUUAGUUACCAGCACGUAAUGGUGGGGACUUUAGCAAGACUGCCAGUGAUAAAUUGGAGGAAGGUGGGGACGACGUCAAAUCAUCAUGCCCCUUAUGACCUGGGCUACAAACGUGAUACAAUGGCUGUUACAAAGGGUAGCUGAAGCGCAAGUUUUUGGCGAAUCUCAAAAAAACAGUCUCAGUUCGGAUUGAAGUCUGCAACUCGACUUCAUGAAGUUGGAAUCGCUAGUAAUCGCGAAUCAGCAUGUCGCGGUGAAUACGUUCUCGGGGUUUGUACACACCGCCCGUCAAUCAUGGU